rnacentral:rRNA from 1 species
GCAGUUAAAAUUUAGUUUUGGUUUGUUAAUACUUUUUAUUUUUGCUAUAAUUAUUCGAAUGUAAAUUAUUUGUAUAUAAAGUAGCUAGAAUUAAACAACUUAGAAAAGUUUAGAUAAAAAGAACCUAAUAAGUUUGUGCCAGCAUUAGCGGUUAUACAAACGGUGAAAUAUUUAUUUGGUCCAAAAAAGAUUACCCCGGAAAAUAAUUAAAAGUGAAAUUUUAAACUUUAUUCGGCUGAGGGGUAAAUAAUCGUAAGAAUCUUAAUUUAAAACCAGGAUUAGAUACCCUGUUAUUUAGGAGAAAGCAUGACCGAAGUAGUAUAAAAUUUGAAACUUAAAAAAUUUGGCGGUAGUACAAUCUAAUUAAAGAGUUUAACUUAAUAAAUGAUAGUACGCGAUUAACCUUACCUGCUCUACUCCUUAUGUACUGCUGUGUUUUCCUCUUAAGAAGAGCUUAAAGGGUCUGUGAGUUGUUCACGUAAAUCAAGUCAAAGUGUAGGAUGUUCAGGUUAAAGUGGGGCGCUAUAUAUAAUUUACUCAAGAUAAAUGAAAUAUGUUUUGAGGAAGGAUUUAAAAGUAAGCUUAAGAAGAAUAUUAUGCUGACAAAGCUCUGUACUAUGCACAUAUCGCCCGUCAUUCCCGAAAGGGACAAGUCGUAACAAAGUAGAUUUUCUUGAAGG